rnacentral:rRNA from 1 species
GGGUGCGAUCAUACCAGCACUAAUGCAUCAGAUCCUAUCAAAACUUCAUUCUUAAGUGUGCUUGAGGUGAGAGUAGUAUUAAGUAAGGUGACCACUUGGGAAGUACUUGUGUUGCACCCU